CCCUUAGAUGUUCUGGGCAGCAAGCGCGCUACAAUGGUCUUCGCAAACGGAUGCAUUCUCGAAGGAGAAUGCCAAUCUUGGAAUCUAUGCCUUGGUCGGGACAGUUGCUUGCAAUUUUUCGACUCGAACCAGGAAUUCCUUGUAAUCGUGAUUCAUCACAUCACGAUGAAUACGUCCCUGCCCUUUGUACACACCGCCCGUCGCUCCUACCGAUCGAAGAGUUAGGUGAAUUGUUUUGAUCGAUAAGAUUUGACUAUGGUCAACUCUCGUUGUGAAAUUCUGUGAAUCUGACUGUUUAGAGGAAGGAAAAGUCGUAACA
rnacentral:rRNA from 1 species